rnacentral:rRNA from 1 species
AUACGAGGGGUGCAAGCGUUAAUCGGAAUUACUGGGCGUAAAGCGUUCGUAGGCGGUUUGUUAAGCAAGAUGUGAAAGCCCUGGGCUCAACCUGGGAACUGCAUCUUGAACUGGCAAACUAGAAUACUGUAGAGGGUGGUGGAAUUUCCAGUGUAGCGGUGAAAUGCGUAGAGAUUGGAAGGAACAUCAGUGGCGAAGGCGGCCACCUGGACAGAUAUUGACGCUGAGGAACGAAAGCGUGGGGAGCGAACAGGAUUAGAAACCCCGGUAGUCC